ACGGUUAUAAAUCAACAUAUUGAUUUAUAAGCAUGGAAAUCCCCUGAGUGAAACAACGAAUUGCUGUGUGUAGUCUUUGCCCAUCUCCUACGAUGGGCUUUUUUUUAA
rnacentral:other from 1 species